AGUGAACGCUGGCGGCAGGCCUAACACAUGCAAGUCGAACGAGUGGCGGACGGGUGAGGAAUACAUCGGAAUCUACUCUGGCGGGGGGGAAAACGUAGGGAAACUUACGCUUAUACCGCAAUCGAUUGAAUGAGCCGAUGGGGGUUUAGCUAGUUGGCGGGGUAAGGGCCCACCAAGGAGACGCUCCGUAGCUGGUCUGAGAGGAUGAGCAGCCACACGGGAACUGCGACACGGUCCAGACUCCUACGGGAGGCAGCAUUGGGGAAUAUUGGACAAUGGGCGCAAGCCUGAUCCAGCCAUACCGCGUGGGUGAAGAAGGCCUUCGGGUUGUAAAGCACUUUUGUUGGGAAAGCGGUACCCAAAGAAUAAGCACCGGCUAACUUCGUGCCAGCAGCCGCGGUAAUAC
rnacentral:rRNA from 1 species